rnacentral:tRNA from 1 species
GCGGGUGUAGUUUAGUGGUAAAACUACAGCCUUCCAUGCUGUUGUCGCGAGUUCGAUUCUCGUCACCCGCU